rnacentral:lncRNA from 10 species
GCGGGCGCCCCUCCCCAGCCUCGCUGCCGCCUUGCAGUUUGAUCUCAGACUGCUGUACUAGCAAUCAGCGAGACUCUGUGGGCCUAGGACCCUCGGAGCCAGGUGCAGGAUAUAAUCUGGUGGGGCGCCAUUUUUUAAGCCCAUCGGAAAAGCGCAGUAUUCGGGUGGGAGUGACCCGAUUUUCCAGGUGCCGUCGGUCACCCCUUUCUUUGACUCAGAAAGGGAACUCCCUGACCCCUUGCGCUUCCCAAGUGAGGCAAUGCCUCGCCCUGCUUUGGCUCGCGCACGGUGCGCACACCCACUGACCUGCGCUCACUGUCUGGCACUGCCUAGUGAGAUGAACCCGGUACCUCAGAUGGAAAUGCAGAAAUCACCGGUCUUCUGCGUCCCUCACGCUGGGAGCUGUAGACCGGAGCUGUUCUUAUUCGGCCAUCUUGGCUCCUCCCGAGAUAAUAUUUUUCAAGCAUGGAUCUCUCCUCAUGGCAGCUGUAGGAAACACAGGAACUCCGUGACCUGGAAAAUGUGGGACAACUGCCACAAGGUGACCCUGGAAGGCUGGGGUUGAGUACCAGUAGAAACCUCAUAUUUACCUGGAAGAUUACUUUUAGGAAGCUUGAAGAAUUCUCUCUUCCAACUUGGUUAAUCUGAGUUCUGUGGCACCUACAAGAGAAAUGGCUGCUUAUAUGUGACAACCUGCAGAUCUGAGCAGCAGGGGAACAAAGGCAGGGCCAACACAAUGGCACUGGUCCCGUUGAGUCCUGGGGAGUCCUCAGCUUUCAGGAGUCCCCUGAAUAUGGGGCAACCCCACAG